rnacentral:lncRNA from 1 species
UGUGGAAACUGCUCAGCCAUAGCCAGAAUUUUGAUAUUUGUAAUAGAGAGGACAAAAUAUCAGUUGAACAGUGCCUGUCUAUUAUUCCGUAUAAAAAUUUCUUUCAAUUUUUAAGUGAUCUAAAAAUUGCUCCAAUUGCACAAAAAGUUUUAAACCACAUUUGGGGCUAACACGGAACCAUUGAGGUGGUGUACUUUGUCUUCAAGUAACUAUAUUGAAAUAUGAACUUAUUGAAAAUUCCUCAGAGUGUUUCAGUACAAGUUACAGGAAACAAUUUAGAAAAAACACAUAAAUAUUAAAACAAUUGAAACUUAAUAUGUCAGAAGAAAUGUUUUAAAUCAUAAGACUUUAUAAUAUAAGUUGUGCUAAGUUAGGAAGUAUCCAGAUUAUCCACAAGAGGCAAUUAGAUAAAAAAGAAACUUGUGUCAAGUACAUACUAACAUAUACUCAAGAUAAUUCACUCUUUGAUCAAGUGUCAGACCAGGAAAUAAAAGCACAAAACUUAUAUAAAAUGUUCGUUAUUGGUUUACAUUAAAAACAUACACAUACAUGGCAAAGGUCAUUCCAUAACGAAUAAUUUGUAUUCUGUGAGUAUGUAAUAUUUUUAUUAUUUAUUUAAAAAGG